AAAGGAAUAGACGGGGGCCCGCACAAGCGGUGGAGUAUGUGGUUUAAUUCGACGCAACGCGAAGAACCUUACCAGGUCUUGACAUUGAUGGACGAAACAAGAGAUUGUUUUUCUCCUUCGGGAGCCAGAAAACAGGUGGUGCACGGCUGUCGUCAGCUCGUGUCGUGAGAUGUUGGGUUAAGUCCCGCAACGAGCGCAACCCCUAUCUUAUGUUGCCAGCACUUCGGGUGGGGACUCAUGAGAGACUGCCGCAGACAAUGCGGAGGAAGGCGGGGAUGACGUCAAGUCAUCAUGCCCCUUAUGACCUGGGCUACACACGUACUACAAUGGGCUUUAAUAGAGGGAAGCAAAGCGGCGACGCGGAGCAAACCCCAGAAACAAGCUCUCAGUUCGGAUCGUAGGCUGCAACUCGCCUACGUGAAGUCGGAAUCGCUAGUAAUCGCAGGUCAGCAUACUGCGGUGAAUACGUUCCCGGGCCUUGUACACACCGCCCGU
rnacentral:rRNA from 1 species